rnacentral:rRNA from 1 species
GACGAACGCUGGCGGCGUGCCUAAUACAUGCAAGUUGAGCGCUGAAGGUUGGUACUUGUACCAACUGGAUGAGCAGCGAACGGGUGAGUAACGCGUGGGGAAUCUGCCUUUGAGCGGGGGACAACAUUUGGAAACGAAUGCUAAUACCGCAUAAAAACUUUAAACACAAGUUUUAAGUUUGAAAGAUGCAAUUGCAUCACUCAAAGAUGAUCCCGCGUUGUAUUAGCUAGUUGGUGAGGUAAAGGCUCACCAAGGCGAUGAUACAUAGCAGACCUGAGAGGGUGAUCGGCCACAUUGGGACUGAGACACGGCCCAAACUCCUACGGGAGGCAGCAGUAGGGAAUCUUCGGCAAUGGACGAAAGUCUGACCGAGCAACGCCGCGUGAGUGAAGAAGGUUUUCGGAUCGUAAAACUCUGUUGGUAGAGAAGAACGUUGGUGAGAGUGGAAAGCUCAUCAAGUGACGGUAACUACACAGAAAGGGACGGCUAACUACGUG